AGGAAAAACAGUUAUUUAUCAAUCACAAUUUUCACAUUUCAUGACUGAAAUGCCUGUAUACCUGUAUUCACAACAGAUGAUGUCUAACUCAGAAUGGUAGAUUGAAACCUCCAUGGGUUGGGUUCAGUGAUCACUAAACUAUGACCAUAAAGAUGGCUGAUCAUUCCUCCAGAGACAUCAACUGACUUGCCUAGUUAAAUAAAGGUUCAAUAAAAACAGACAUCAACAGGUUGAGACUGAGUGGAGGUGGCGGAGUGGCCUGAUCUCUGAAGGUCUGCUUUAGACUGACAGGUUAUGGUUGAGACUGAGUGGAGGUGGCGGAGUGGCCUGAUCUCUGAAGGUCUGCUUUAGACUGACAGGUUAUGGUUGAGACUGAGUGGAGGUGGCGGAGUGGCCUGAUCUCUGAAGGUCUGCUUUAGACUGACAGGUUAUGGUUGAGACUGAGUGGAGGUGGCGGAGUGGCCUGAUCUCUGAAGGUCUGCUUUAGACUGACAGGUUAUGGUUGAGACUGAGUGGAGGUGGCGGAGUGGCCUGAUCUCUGAAGGUCUGCUUUAGACUGACAGGUUAUGGUUGAGACUGAGUGGAGGUGGCGGAGUGGCCUGAUCUCUGAAGGUCUGCUUUAGACUGACAGGUUAUGGUUGAGACUGAGUGGAGGUGGCGGAGUGGCCUGAUCUCUGAAGGUCUGCUUUAGACUGACAGGUUAUGGUUGAGACUGAGUGGAGGUGGCGGAGUGGCCUGAUCUCUGAAGGUCUGCUUUAGACUGACAGGUUAUGGUUGAGACUGAGUGGAGGUGGCGGAGUGGCCUGAUCUCUGAAGGUCUGCUUUAGACUGACAGGUUAUGGUUGAGACUGAGUGGAGGUGGCGGAGUGGCCUGAUCUCUGAAGGUCUGCUUUAGACUGACAGGUUAUGGUUGAGACUGAGUGGAGGUGGCGGAGUGGCCUGAUCUCUGAAGGUCUGCUUUAGACUGACAGGUUAUGGUUGAGACUGAGUGGAGGUGGCGGAGUGGCCUGAUCUCUGAAGGUCUGCUUUAGACUGACAGGUUAUGGUUGAGACUGAGUGGAGGUGGCGGAGUGGCCUGAUCUCUGAAGGUCUGCUUUAGACUGACAGGUUAUGGUUGAGACUGAGUGGAGGUGGCGGAGUGGCCUGAUCUCUGAAGGUCUGCUUUAGACUGACAGGUUAUGGUUGAGACUGAGUGGAGGUGGCGGAGUGGCCUGAUCUCUGAAGGUCUGCUUUAGACUGACAGGUUAUGGUUGAGACUGAGUGGAGGUGGCGGAGUGGCCUGAUCUCUGAAGGUCUGCUUUAGACUGACAGGUUAUGGUUGAGACUGAGUGGAGGUGGCAGAGUGGCCUGAUCUCUGAAGGUCUGCUUUAGACUGACAGGUUAUGGUUGAGACUGAGUGGAGGUGGCAGAGUGGCCUGAUCUCUGAAGGUCUGCUUUAGACUGACAGGUUAUGGUUGAGACUGAGUGGAGGUGGCGGAGUGGCCUGAUCUCUGAAGGUCUGCUUUAGACUGACAGGUUAUGGUUGAGACUGAGUGGAGGUGGCAGAGUGGCCUGAUCUCUGAAGGUCUGCUUUAGACUGACAGGUUAUGGUUGAGACUGAGUGGAGGUGGCAGAGUGGCCUGAUCUCUGAAGGUCUGCUUUAGACUGACAGGUUAUGGUUGAGACUGAGUGGAGGUGGCAGAGUGGCCUGAUCUCUGAAGGUCUGCUUUAGACUGACAGGUUAUGGUUGAGACUGAGUGGAGGUGGCAGAGUGGCCUGAUCUCUGAAGGUCUGCUUUAGACUGACAGGUUAUGGUUGAGACUGAGUGGAGGUGGCAGAGUGGCCUGAUCUCUGAAGGUCUGCUUUAGACUGACAGGUUAUGGUUGAGACUGAGUGGAGGUGGCAGAGUGGCCUGAUCUCUGAAGGUCUGCUUUAGACUGACAGGUUAUGGUUGAGACUGAGUGGAGGUGGCAGAGUGGCCUGAUCUCUGAAGGUCUGCUUUAGACUGACAGGUUAUGGUUAUGGUAAGCUGAUGGUAAGGUGAUGGUCCCUGUAAGUGUAUAGCUUCCGCCCCUCUCUUCACCCCUACCUGGGCUCGAACCAGGGACCCUCUGCACACAGACAACAGUCACCCUUGAAGCAUCGUUACCCAUCACGUCACAAAAGCCACAGCCCUUGCAGAGCAAGGGGAACAACUCCUUCAAGGUCUCAGAGCAAGUGAUGAUUGAAACGCUAUUAGCACGCACCACCGCUAACUAGCUAGCCAUUUCACAUCGGUUACAUAAUCAUUUAGUCUGGCUGUCUAAAUGAUGUUAAGGACCUCUGAUGUGUUUAGGCUGGAGAUACCUGGGAUUCAUGCUAUGAGUCAUCAGACUAUGAUGCCACCCUGAUGUAGUAGACUGAUGCACUAAUGCAAAGAGGCCAUGAACACACACACACACACUCUCACACACACAGUCUUGAAACACACACACACACACAGUCUUGAAACACACACACACACCUAAACAGAAGUAAACACUGAAAGCAAGCACCAUGACAUCAUGAAGAGAUUUAAAAAAAAAAAAAAAAUCUACAUUGUAAAAAUGUAAGUGAUUUAUUGGUCAUAAUUUAAUGUUAGGGUUAGGCAUUAGUUAACAGUGUGGUUAAGGUUAGGGUUAGGCAUUAGAGUUAACAGUGUGGUUAAGGUUAGGGUUAGGUUUCAUGAUGAAAAACACUAACCUGUGCUGUUAAAUAAAACUGAUUGGAUUUUAGUGGUUCAAUGACCCCAAUAAACCAUGAAUUCAAUAGUACGACAGUGAUACGGUGGCUUUGUGGUUGUCACGUUAACCAUCUCUCAAUAAAGCUUCUCUAAUUCAAUCAGAUGUUCUCAGUGAUGGUAUCCCAGGAAACCAUGAAUUCAAUAGUACGACAGUGAUACGGUGGCUUUGUGGUUGUCACGUUAACCAUCUCUCAAUAAAGCUUCUCUAAUUCAAUCAGAUGUUCUCAGUGAUGGUAUCCCAGGAAACCAUGUCACAGUUUGUUCCAUGAUUAAACUCCAGCAACUAAUCGCUUAGUAGAGGAUUACAGUAUGAUCCACAGAACACUACAUGACUAAUACAGGACAAGCAGUAUGUGUGUGUCUGUGUGUGUGUGUUUUUAUAUAGCUGUGUGGGUGUGUGUUUUGCAUAAACCCCCGAC